GACGAACGCUGGCGGCGUGCCUAAUACAUGCAAGUCGAACGCUUCUUUCCUCCCGAGUGCUUGCACUCAAUUGGAAAGAGGAGUGGCGGACGGGUGAGUAACACGUGGGUAACCUACCCAUCAGAGGGGGAUAACACUUGGAAACAGGUGCUAAUACCGCAUAACAGUUUAUGCCGCAUGGCAUAAGAGUGAAAGGCGCUUUCGGGUGUCGCUGAUGGAUGGACCCGCGGUGCAUUAGCUAGUUGGUGAGGUAACGGCUCACCAAGGCCACGAUGCAUAGCCGACCUGAGAGGGUGAUCGGCCACACUGGGACUGAGACACGGCCCAGACUCCUACGGGAGGCAGCAGUAGGGAAUCUUCGGCAAUGGACGAAAGUCUGACCGAGCAACGCCGCGUGAGUGAAGAAGGUUUUCGGAUCGUAAAACUCUGUUGUUAGAGAAGAACAAGGACGUUAGUAACUGAACGUCCCCUGACGGUAUCUAACCAGA
rnacentral:rRNA from 1 species